rnacentral:rRNA from 1 species
UGGGCCUACGGGGGGCAGCAGUAGGGAAUCUUCGGCAAUGGACGAAAGUCUGACCGAGAAACGCCGCGUGAGUGAAGAAGGUUUUCGGAUCGUAAAACUCUGUUGGUAGAGAAGAACGUUGGUGAGAGUGGAAAGCUCAUCAAGUGACGGAAACUACCCAGAAAGGGACGGCUAACUACGUGCCAGCAGCCGCGGUAAUACGUAGGUCCCGAGCGUUGUCCGGAUUUAUUGGGCGUAAAGCGAGAGCAGGAGGUUUAUUAAGUCUGGAGUAAAAGGCAGAGGCUCAGCCAUUGUAUGCAUUGGAA